rnacentral:rRNA from 1 species
AUUGAACGCUGGCGGCAGGCUUAACACAUGCAAGUCGAGCGAGCGGCGGACGUGUGAUUAAUGUCUGGGCAACUGCCUGAUGGAGGGGGAUAACUACUGGAAACGGUAGCUAAUACCGCAUACCAUCAGCUGUGCCCAGAUGGGUUUAGCUUGUGGGGGGGGUAAUGGCUCACCUAGGCGACGAUCCCUAUCUGGUCUGAGAGGAUGACGAGCCACACGGAAAGUGAGACAGGGUCCAGACCCCUACGGGAGGCAGCAGGGGGGAAUAUGGCAAAGUGGGCGAAAGCAGGAUGCAGCCAUGCCGCGUGUGUGAAGAGGGCCUUCGGGUUGUAAAUCAGGUGCAGCGAGGAGGCGUAACUAGCAGAAAAAGCACCGGCAAACUCCGUGCCAGCAGCGGGGGUAAUC